rnacentral:rRNA from 1 species
AGAGUUUGAUCCUGGCUCAGGAUGAACGCUGGCGGCGUGCUUAAUACAUGCAAGUCGAACGAGGAGCUAUUAUCUUCGGAUGAGAGAAUUCCUAGUGGCGAACGGGUGAGUAACGCGUUGGUGACCUGCCCCAAAGAAGGGGAUAACAGUUCGAAAGGACUGCUAAUACCCUAUGUUAUCAGUUGGAUUAGAAGCCUACUGAUUAAAGGAGUAAUCCGCUUUGGGAGGGACCUGCGUCCCAUCAGCUAGUUGGUAGGGUAACGGCCUACCAAGGCAAUGACGGGUAGGGGACCUGAGAGGGUGACCCCCCACAAUGGCACUGAAACACGGGCCAUACACCUACGGGUGGCAGCAGUAGGGAAUAUUGGACAAUGGGCGAAAGCCUGAUCCAGCAACGCCGCGUGCACGAUGACGGCCUUCGGGUUGUAAAGUGCUUUUAGAGGAGAUGAGAAAGGACAGUAUCCUCUGAAUAAGCCUCGGCGAACUACGUGCCAGCAGCCGCGGUAAAACGUAGGAGGCAAGCGUUAUCCGGAUUUAUUGGGCGUAAAGCGCGUGCAGGCUGUCUAUCAAGUUGGAUGUGAAAGCUCCUGUCUUACUGGGAGAGGUCGUUCAAUACUGUUAGCUAAAAGAGAAUGGGGAGAGGGAGGGUGUAUUCUGGGUGUAGUGUGAAAUGCGUAGAU